rnacentral:rRNA from 1 species
UGGGGAAUAUUGGACAAUGGGGGGAACCCUGAUCCAGCCAUGCCGCGUGUGUGAAGAAGGCCUUAUGGUUGUAAAGCACUUUAAGCGAGGAGGAGGGUACUGGUAUUAAUACUACCAGGUACUGGACGUUACUCGCAGAAUAAGCACCGGCUAUCUCUGUGCCAGCAGCCGCGGUAAUACAGAGGGUGCGAGCGUUAAUCGGAUUUACUGGGCGUAAAGCGUGCGUAGGCGGCUAAUUGAGUCGGAUGUGAAAUCCCCGAGCUUAACUUGGGAAUUGCAUUCGAUACUGGUUAGCUAGAGUGUGGGAGAGGAUGGUAGAAUUCCAGGUGUAGCGGUGAAAUGCGUAGAGAUCUGGAGGAAUACCGAUGGCGAAGGCAGCCAUCUGGCCUAACACUGACGCUGAGGUACGAAAGCAUGGGGAGCAAACAGG